CAUCUCGAACAUAAACAAAACUGACAAUUGAACGUCACGGGCCGCGGCCAUUUUAAAAGUUUUCACUCAACGUCUUACGGAGAAGCACGACCUCUACCGACGACUGUUGUCAUCCCGACACCAACUAAACCCACAACUGACGAGGACCAGAUGGACAAGCGUUUCACUUGGACCUCUAUCGUCUUGCCGGACCCCAACCGGCCCGACAUCCUUAGGCUGGUACUUUGAAGUGUACCUGGAGCAGCCCAGUCCAGAGUCUACAACCAAGUCCCAUCCUAACACACUUCUGGGCUCUCCCUCUAACUCCUCUGCAACCUCCUCACCCAACCGCUUCUCCUCUGCCUCCUACACUACCUCUUCCACCUUCUCCCCCUCAUCUUCCUCUUCCUCCAAGACCAAGCCUCGGCAGACCCCAAAGCGCCCUGUGCCACAGUGGGUGAGGAACCUCCGGUCCAUUAUAAUGAUGAGAAACAGGCGAUGUGGCAUUGAAGGAUCUAAGAGACCCGCGGAAAUGUAAGACAAGAGCAAGAAGCUGACAGAGGAGCAGACAAAACACUUCAUUUAAAGAAGCUGGAGCAGCAGACAGAGGUCGGAGACACAGCAGAACAUUUCUACUAUUUCAACAUACUCAGACUCAAAUAAAAUGUCAAAACCUUCUUAAUUCAA